rnacentral:rRNA from 1 species
UACGUAGGCACCAAGCGUUGUCCGGAUUUAUUGGGCGUAAAGAGCGUGUAGGCGGCCAGACAGGUCCGUUGUGAAAACUCGAGCUCAACCUCGAGACGCCGAUGGAAACCGUUUGGCUAGAGUCCGGAAGAGGAGAGUGGAAUUCCUGGUGUAGCGGUGAAAUGCGCAGAUAUCAGGAAGAACACCCGUGGCUAAGGCGGCUCUCUAGUACGGUACUGACGCUGAGACGCGAAAGCGUGGGGAGCGAACAGG